UACGUAGGGGGCAAGCGUUGUCCGGAUUUAUUGGGCGUAAAGAGCGUGUAGGCGGUUAUGCAGGUCCGCUGUGAAAACUGGAGGCUUAACCUCCAGACGUCGGUGGAAACCGUAUGACUAGAGUCCGGAAGAGGAGAGUGGAAUUCCUGGUGUAGCGGUGAAAUUCGUAGAUAUUAGGAAGAACACCAGUGGCGAAGGCGGCUCACUGGUCCGGUACUGACGCUGAGGUGCGAAAGCGUGGGGAGCAAACAGG
rnacentral:rRNA from 1 species